CAGUCGCCACGGGAAUACGUAGGGUGCAAGCGUUAAUCGGAAUUACUGGGCGUAAAGCGUGCGCAGGCGGCUAUGCAAGACAGAUGUGAAAUCCCCGGGCUCAACCUGGGAACUGCAUUUGUGACUGCAUGGCUAGAGUACGGUAGAGGGGGAUGGAAUUCCGCGUGUAGCAGAGAAAUGCGUAGAUAUGCGGAGGAACACCGAUGGCGAAGGCAAUCCCCUGGACCUGUACUGACGCUCAUGCACGAAAGCGUGGGGAGCAAACAGGAUUAGAUACCCCGGUAGUCCCUGUCUCUUAUAC
rnacentral:rRNA from 1 species